UACAGGGGGUGCAAACGUUGCUCGGAAUCAUUGGGCGUAAAGCGCACGUAGGCGGUCUGUUAUGUCGGAUGUGAAAGCCCUUGGCUCAACUGAGGAAGUGCAUCCGAAACUGGCAGGCUAGAGUACUAAAGAGGAUCGCGGAAUUCCCGGUGUAGAGGUGAAAUUCGUAGAUAUUGGGAAGAACACCGGUGGCGAAGGCGGCGCUCUGGACCGAGACUGACGCUGAGGCGCGAAAGCGUGGGGAGCAAACAGG
rnacentral:rRNA from 1 species